AGUGAACGCUGGCGGUAGGCCUAACACAUGCAAGUCGAACGGCAGCACAGUAAGAGCUUGCUCUUACGGGUGGCGAGUGGCGGACGGGUGAGGAAUACAUCGGAAUCUACUUUUUCGUGGGGGAUAACGUAGGGAAACUUACGCUAAUACCGCAUACGACCUACGGGUGAAAGCAGGGGAUCUUCGGACCUUGCGCGAUUGAAUGAGCCGAUGUCGGAUUAGCUGGUUGGCGGGGUAAAGGCCCACCAAGGCGACGAUCCGUAGCUGGUCUGAGAGGAUGAUCAGCCACACUGGAACUGAGACACGGUCCGGACUCCUACGGGAGGCAGCAGUGGGGAAUAUUGGACAAUGGGCGCAAGCCUGAUCCAGCCAUACCGCGUGGGUGAAGAAGGCCUUCGGGUUGUAAAGCCCUUUUGUUGGGAAAGAAAAGCAGCAGGUUAAUACCCCGCUGUUCUGACGGUACCCAAAGAAUAAGCACCGGCUAACUUCGUG
rnacentral:rRNA from 1 species